rnacentral:rRNA from 1 species
GACGAACGCUGGCGGCGUGCCUAAUACAUGCAAGUUGAGCGCUGAAGGUUGGUACUUGUACCAACUGGAUGAGCAGCGAACGGGUGAGUAACGCGUGGGGAAUCUGCCUUUGAGCGGGGGACAACAUUUGGAAACGAAUGCUAAUACCGCAUAAAAACUUUAAACACAAGUUUUAAGUUUGAAAGAUGCAAUUGCAUCACUCAAAGAUGAUCCCGCGUUGUAUUAGCUAGUUGGUGAGGUAAAGGCUCACCAAGGCGAUGAUACAUAGCCGACCUGAGAGGGUGAUCGGCCACAUUGGGACUGAGACACGGCCCAAACUCCUACGGGAGGCAGCAGUAGGGAAUCUUCGGCAAUGGACGAAAGUCUGACCGAGCAACGCCGCGUGAGUGAAGAAGGUUUUCGGAUCGUAAAACUCUGUUGGUAGAGAAGAACGUUGGUGAGAGUGGAAAGCUCAUCAAGUGACGGUAAUUACCCAGAAAGGGACGGCUAACUACGUG